CCGGCCGGGGCAGGCGGACCUGGGAUUCCUCCGUCUGCAGAAGGAGUUCAAAGGUCGGAGAGAGGGACCAGAGCUCAGCAGUGACUAAACCAGCAACAGUUCCCUGCUCUUCCAGACAUUCAACAAGGCUUCAGCGUCCCAGCUUUGUGCUUGACCAACUUGCGAGUCCUUAACUCUUCUGCUCAGGGAAACAAUGAAGACAUCCAAGACACAGUCCUUGUCCCCAGAAAACAAUCUCAACCAGGCAUCAAGCAUUUCAAACAGAAAAAUCUAUGCAAGGAUGUGUCACACACUAGAGAGGAGAAUAAGGUACACAGAUCAUCUGCUUUCUGACUACUCCUGAGAACAACCAUCUUGCCCAAAUCUCCAACCCAGACUUCCAGAAAACACAGUUUAAGAAACAUAAAUCACAACAAACUCUCAAUACCCAAACAACAACGAAAAAUUACUAUUUAAAACACUGGAUUAUCUGGAUGCAGUGGACUUCACCAAAAAGAAAACUGGUGACUCAAAGACACCAUCGAGAAGUGAAAAGACAACUUGCAGAAUGGGAGAAAAAAAUUGCAAUUCAUACAUCUGACAAGGCACUUAUAUCUGGGAUACGUAGAGAACUCUUGUAACACAGCAACAAAAAGACAACUCCUAUAAAAAAAUGGGCAGAGGACUUAGACAAACUUUUCCCUAAUUACUGAGUCUGCAUAAUUUCACAAUAGCCCAACACAACAGAAUCUCACAUAUCCAGUGUCCAGUAGAAGGCGGCAAGAAAAAGAAAUUAUAGGUGGGUACAAUAUUAAGCCAAAGGGGCUUAUGUAUCAAAUGACUGAUAAAGAAGGGAAGAGGCUCAGGGAAAGGAACAACGACAAAAUAAAAAAAACUAUUAGUUUUAUAACUACAGAUGUCUGAAAUCUGAAAAUGCUUGGGCACACCUUCGUAUAGCAAAACUAAUUUCACAAAUGUCUAUCACUGUAUUUGGUUUUCCUUAGUAUUAGCACUAGAAACAGGCUCAUUUAUAAGCGGCAUGCUGUGCCCUCUGAAAGUUUUCUACCAGUGGUAAAUUCCAUAGGUAUCAAGGAAGACACAUUUUCUUUAUAAGCAGACAAAAUGACUAGAUCUUCCACUAUCAAAAUAUACUGUCAUCAGAUAUUAUAUUGGGCAAAUCCACCACAGGUGUUUAUACUCAAAGUCUAGAAGGCUGGUUUAUAACCUUUGUGGUACUUUAACCAAAACGCUGUAAGAUGACUAAUGACAGCACAAGGUAAAUUAUGGUGUGUGCUCUGCUGCCACCCCUUGGAUCCGGGAGCAAGUACUCUAGCCAAACCAGAGACUAAAAGGAACAUGGUAAGCACCCCCAGUUGUCAUCACAAACAUAGGCAAAAUGGUCAGAAAACAAGGUUGCUUCCAAAGUAUGGUUUCUAUAAAAUAAAAUCCUACAAACCACAAAACCUGAUCCAUAGUUAUUUCUUCAUCUAUAUCAA